rnacentral:rRNA from 1 species
GAUGAACGCUGGCGGCGUGCCUAAUACAUGCAAGUCGAGCGAACGGACGAGAAGCUUGCUUCUCUGAUGUUAGCGGCGGACGGGUGAGUAACACGUGGAUAACCUACCUAUAAGACUGGGAUAACUUCGGGAAACCGGAGCUAAUACCGGAUGAUAUUUUGAACCGCAUGGUUCAAAAGUGAAAGACGGUCUUGCUGUCACUUAUAGAUGGAUCCGCGCUGCAUUAGCUAGUUGGUAAGGUAACGGCUUACCAAGGCAACGAUGCAUAGCCGACCUGAGAGGGUGAUCGGCCACACUGGAACUGAGACACGGUCCAGACUCCUACGGGAGGCAGCAGUAGGGAAUCGUCCGCAAUGGGCGAAAGCCUGACGGAGCAACGCCGCGUGAGUGAUGAAGGUCUUCGGAUCGUAAAACUCUGUUAUUAGGGAAGAACAUAUGUGUAAGUAACUGUGCACAUCUUGACGGUACCUAAUCAGAAAGCCACGGCUAACUACGUG